rnacentral:tRNA from 4 species
GGGUAGGUGGCGAAAUUGGCAGACGCGCCAGCCUUAGGAGCUGGUCCCGCAAGGGGUGCGAGUUCAAGUCUCGCCCUACCCA